AUGAUGGAUAGUCGGUCGAUACGGUUGGUACCUGCUCGCAGGUGCCGAUCUAUUAGGCUCGGCUUUGAAGUUAUCGGCGACGUUUCGACUCGUCGGCGUCGGCAGUGUCAGUGUCGGUCACCCCUCCGACCCGUCUUGAAACACGGGCCAAGGAGUCUAACAUAUGCGCGAGCUAAUGGGUGGAAAACCCAAAAGCGAAAUAAAAGUAAAGGCCGUUUCGGACGGCUAAGGUACGAUCCUUGAAUCCGAGCGAUUCUAGGCGCAGUACCGUCCCGUCCCGACCGCACGUCGGUAGGGCGGAGAUAGAGUGCAUACGUUGGGACCCGAAAGAUGGUGAACUAUGCCUGAGCAGGCGAAGCCAGAUGAAACUCUGGU
rnacentral:rRNA from 1 species